UGUAAGUGGACUUAAGACUCCCUGAAU
rnacentral:piRNA from 1 species